UAUCGACACUACUAAACUAUCCGUGAGGAUAGGACGGAAAGCCUACAGGGUCUCCACGAGACAGCCAGGUCGCCGAA
rnacentral:ncRNA from 1 species